rnacentral:rRNA from 1 species
CGCCCCUUGAAAAGUAGCUUUAGUCUAAGAUAUAAGGGGUACUGCCUGCCCAGUGACGUAGAAGUUAAACGGCCGCGGUAUUUUGACCGUGCAAAGGUAGCAUAAUCAUUUGCCUUUUAAAUGGAGGCUGGAAUGAAUGGCAAGACGGGAAUUUAACUGUCUCUUUCUUAAGGGCCCUGAAAUUAAUAUUCUAGUGAAGAAGCUAGAAUAAGACCGUGGGACGAGAAGACCCUGUUGAGCUUUAAUGGGUAAAAUAAUCAUAAUAUUUUUGUUUAAGGCUAAUUGUUAAGUACUAAUUUGAAAACUAAAAGUUUACCUUAAGGAAAAAAAGUGUUGUAUUUUAUUCUGUUUUGGUUGGGGCAACUGCGGAGAAUAAUUAACCUCCGCUUUAUAAAUAUAAAAAUACAUUUUUUAUUAAUAAAAGUUUUUGAUAAGUGAUCCACUGUAAAGUGAUCAAAGGAACAAGUUACCACAGGGAUAACAGCGUAAUUUUUUUGGAGAGUUCAUAUUGAUAAAAAAGUUUGCGACCUCGAUGUUGGAUCGAGACUUCCUGGAGGUGCAGCAGCUUCCAAGGGUUGGUCUGUUCGACCAUUAAAGUC